CCUCCAUUACUCAAGAUUUCUAGACGAUUGACAAAUGCCAUGAAUCAUAGGGAGCUUUGUCUCCUCCAACUCCAGGAAGUAACGGGUUCUGUGAUAGAGUUUUCCUUAAAAAGACAACGGGUAUAGACUAUAAAGGGAAGGUCGUGGGCAACAAGCCAACUUAGCAACGGUGAUGGACAUAGGGGAGGAGCGGCAAGGUAACGGUAACGUCGUCCACCGUUGGAGGCUAAGGAAUUCCGUUUGGAAGGGUAAGGGUGGGGCAGGUUAGUGCCACGCUACGGUUACGGUUGUGGAUUUAAUGGUGGGAGUUGUUGCAGACAAGCAAGUGGAGGUGGGCGCGAGUCAUCACGUGGCUGAGAGCUUGUUUACGAGGAACAUCCGCAAGUUUUAGAUUGGGAGAUUGGAAAUGAGAUUCGGUAUGGAAGUUAAAGAGCAAUGCAUGAAUGGAGAAGAAGAUACACUCCCACAUUUCUAUCUAGGAUGGGAGCGGCAAUUUGAAAUACACAAGGUUGUUGACCAUAUUUUUUUAUUGGAAAAAAGCUAACACUCACUCAAUGAUUUUGUCACUGUCCAUGGUUUUUUUUAAGGAAAAUGGUAUAGAGAGAAAGUCAAGGGUAACAUAUCGGCUCAAGAUGGAAGCUGUCAAUGGUGAGACCAGCGCUUACGGUGAUUUCUAGAUAUGGAAGUGGAGUAGGGUGUGCAGGGGUCAU
rnacentral:lncRNA from 1 species